AGAAAACGAGGAGCAGAUUCGGAAAAGUAGAAAGCGUCAUGAAUGGCAAGCAAGCACAUCAAUAGAUGGUCAACUGCGUCAUAAUUAGAGUGCUUCACAGGAAAGUCUCAGCUCUUAGAGCUGGCCAGCAAGCUUUGAUAUACAAAUACAGGCCAUUAGAAACUGGGUCCACCCAAACAUGGCGGUUCCUGCCCUCGUCUUCUUGUCCUUGCCCUCACAUGCGCCUGGCAACAUGGCCGCCCUCACGUAUUCCCACAUGUGUAGAACAUCACGGCUAGGAUGGGAGGUGAAAAUGUAAAAUGAUGCAGCCAAUCUGGAGAGCAACCUGGGAAUAACAGGAGAAGUGGCAUGCGUCUGCACACAACAAGCGUGCAGUAGUUCUUUCCAGUAUAACCCAUGGCUAAUAUAAAGAAGAUGACAAUUAGCAUGUGGGGAGUCCACACGACAUUUUGAUAUUAAACGUGGGUUCUUCUUCUUGACAAGGGGGGAAUAUGCUGCUCUAGCAAGAUUGCAAUGAUGAACCCCAGACUCACGUCUAAACAUUCAGCUAUAGCAAGAUUCUGUCCCAGAUGCCAAAUCACCUGGUUAGGAAGACAGAAACCAUCUCACAUUGCAUCUAAGAACUCUGACCUGAAUGACAUUUUCCAGGAAGCAGGAGAAAAUAUCCAUAAGAGAAGAGAAGGCACCUCUGGUCUGAGCCCUGUGGAGCCCAGACGUUUCUGGGACAGGCAGAAGAGAAGAAUGCAGGGAUGUGAGAAGUGAAGCUUGUCCCACAGCACCCAGUGAGUAAGGAACUGAGCUGUGACUGCCGAUGCAAGGUUUGUGAGGAGUCCUGCAGAGUGCCCCGCCCCCCGCAGCUUCAAUUACUGUAACAGCCUCUUCCACCUCAAGCCCUUCCAUCUGACUUUCAAGGCCAGCUUUGACUUCUCCCUCUUUCUCCAACCUACUUCUGACACCACAAAUGUUCCUAAACACUCCACAACUUACAAAGCUCUAGAUGCCUAUAGGAUGCAAUUUUAUGUAACAGCAACAAUUGCAAUGAUAAUAUUUGUUCAUUCAACACAUUUUGAGUGUGUGCUGUGGGCCAGGCCCCCUUCAAGCCCCUAAGGAGACUGCAGAGAACAAAGUCUCUGCUCUUGUGGGUUGACAUUGGGAAGGGGGCUUCUUUAGUCUGUUUUUUUUUUCAUAGAUCCUUUAUUGGUCAUACUCAUUUCCACCUCUACAAAUGUUUCCUCCAUCCUUCUCAGCCUAUUUCCUCCCCUCCACUUAUCCAAAUCCUCAGUUUUCCAUGGAAGCCAGACAGGCUGAAAAUAGCAUGUUACGUUCCCACAUGUGGGCACUGAUAUAUCUGAAUGUAAACACUGCCUUAUCACCUCUAUGCCUUCCCAUAGGGAUACACACCUACCUACUGAGAGACCUCCAAACAGAGACAUCAACAUAGAAACCUCCGCAGAGAUAACCAGAUCUCCAUAUGCAAACUCAUGCAAAAAGAAACCUAGAGAGACAGAUGCCCAGAAGAGGGGUGUGAGUAUAAGCUUUGAGUUUCAGACAGAUGCUUGGCUGACAUUUCUCUCAGUGGUGUGAAAGGACAUUUACCCAGAUUCUACAGAUAUUUUGAUAGAUUACUGCUCUCAACAAAACUGCAAUGAAACUACUAAAAUACAAAAGCAAUUGCGAACUCCAGAGAGUGCUAUAAAACAUUGCAGAAGAGAGUAUGGUUUAUGUUAAUUACAGAGGACUAACAAGAUGUAGAAUGAGAGAGCUGAAAAAGCCUCCACUACCAGUGGCUCUUAGAGGGUAAUCAGUCCAAGGGCAGCGCGCUGCCUGCUAGCAGAAUCCUUGUGAUCCCAAAACCCACAUGGCUGGGGUCUCUCUCUAGUCCUUUAUACAGUAAUCAAUAUUUAAAUGAUCACCCUAAAGCCCUGUCAAGUCCUGAAGCAAGAUUUUGAAAAAUAAAAAAACUCAUAAAACACAAAAUAGAGCAAAACAAUGAGCUCUGAGUUUGCUCUGUUGAAAGCAAUGGGUUGAACCCUGUCUCCCCAUAACGAAUGUUGAAUUCCUAACCUCCAGUACCACAGGGUGUGACCUUAUUUGGAGAUGCAGACAUCACAGAGGUAAUGAAAUUAAAGUGAAGUCAUUGGGAUGGGCCCGAAUCUGUUACAACUGGCAAUUUGGACACAGACACAUUCAGAUGGAACACCAUGUGAACAUAAAGGUGAUCAUCUACAAGUCAAGGGGAGAGGCUGGAACAGAUCCUUCUCUCCCAGGCCUCGGAAGGAACCAACCUGGUCAACACUUUGAUCUUGGACUUCUGGCCUCCAGAACUGUGAGACAACAAAUUUGUGAUCUUCUGUUACAACCCUAGCAAAAUGCACUGUAACACCCGAUUUCUAAUCUGAUAGCAAAGGGAGGCAUCUACAAUCUACAUCUUGUACGUUUGGGCAGUCAUUUCACCACUGGCUUCAUUUAUGUCCUAUUCUUUCUUUUCCAUUUGUUUCAUUUUUCUAAUUUUAUCUUCUAUUUUUAAAAAAGUUUACCAUACUAGAUGUAACUGUAUAAGGUGCCUGAAAUUCUUCUUAGGUUUGGAGAUGAUAUAAAUUGGUAAAUAAAGAUUAUCUGACCUUAAGCACAUGUAGCUCAUACAUGAUUGAGAUGAAACAACUAAAUAGCAAAAUAUUAAUUUAUAAAACAAAUUAAACAGCAAAUAAAUUAAAUUAUAAAAUCUGACUCUCCUGGACCAUUGGAUGAGGAACUCUAAGGGUUGACAAAGAUUUCAUAGAGCAAAUGAUUUCCGCACUCUGGGAAAGAAUUCUUCAGGCAGUAUAUACCACUUUAAAAUGGUGCUUACGUCACCAAAACAUCAGGGCUGUCUUCAACUUUUCACAACACUGAGCAAAGAGAGAGGAAGAUCACUUCUAAAUGGAGUGUAGCAGCGAUUUUAUGAAGUGUGUAAGGAACAUGACCAUUUACUGAGCAUCUGCUAUAUAGCAGGCACUCUGCUAGACAUUUGUUAUGGAAUGAAUACUUUAAUCUGUAUAAUAAACUUGCUAGGAUAUAUUUUAUACCAGUCCUACUUAAAACCAAUAAAUAUGAGGCUCAGAAAAGUAAAUUAACUCGUCUAAGAGCAAGUAAUUAGUAAAAAGUUGAGUUCGGAUUUGGUAUGAAGAAAAAUCUGACCUAAACUUGACAAUAUUUCUGCUUCUCCAAAUUGCUUCCUUAAAGUGUUUGGUUCUCUUCAAUACACUUGAAAAUUAUCAAUACCUAUAGAAAUGUCUGAUAUAAAGUCUUAGUUUAAACUAGAACAUUUAGAAAUUUUAGGCCCAGAGACUAAAAAAUAUGUGAAAUUAGUAUAAAAGUAUGGUCCAGGUGUGGUGGCUCAUGCCUGUAAUCCCAGCACUUUAGAAGGCCAAAGUGGGCGGAUCAUGAGGCCAGAAGAUUGAGACCAUCCUGGCAAACAUGGUGAAACCCGUUUCUACUAAAAACACAAAAAUUAGCUGGGCAUAGUGGCGUGUAUCUGUAAUCCCAGCUACUCAAGAAGCUGAGGCAGGAGAAUCACUUGAACCUGCAAGGUGGAGAUUGCAGUGAGCUUAAAUUGUAUCACUGCACUCCAGCCUGGGUGAUAGGGUGAGACUCCAUCUCAAAACAAAACGAAACAAAAAAAGUAUGUAAAAAUGUUUGUAAAGAAAUGAUGAUACCUUCAUAGACCAAUGUGGCAUGUAAAACAUGUGGGCCACAGAGGAAGAUUAAGAAAAAAAUACAUGCAAUCAAAUAAUAAAAGUGGAGUUACUCCAGGCUAUACUUUUUACCAAUUUCUUAGUGAGUAGAGAUUAGUAGUUAAUUAUAGAACCACUUUCUAUAUUAAGUCUAGAUAUUACAUUCUAAUCCUUAGAAAGUAGGCUGUGGAAGAAUGAAUAAUUACCCUCCAAGGCCCAUUCUCUUCUUCUCAUAGGAGAAUUUAUGGUUGCCCAGCUAAAGCUCUUAUUUUUCAGCACUCUUUGCAGAUGUGUAUGGUUAUGGACUCAGUUAUGGCCAAUGGACUAUGAGUAAAGGUCCUGUGUGACACGUUUGCUGUGCUCUUAAAGUGGAGGAGUGUGCCAUCUCAUCCCCGUGCUCCCUUUGUUGGCUUGGAAGCUGGCAGGGUGGUAGGAGUUAAACCAGCUGUUAUGGACUUUCAGAUGGAAACCACUGGUUAAGGAUGAGGGAGCAAGAAAAAGAAGAUCCUCAAGAUUGUGUGGCUCAUUUACCAGCCUGAGUUCCCAACCUGUGUUUUUGUAUUGCAGGAAAAUAAAGUGUGUGUGUUU